GCGAUCAUACCAGCAUUAAUGCACCGGAUCCCAUCAGAACUCCGCAGU
rnacentral:rRNA from 1 species